rnacentral:lncRNA from 1 species
GUGCAGGUGCUGCCGGUUGAUGGCGGCCUAACCAUGAGUGUAACUGAAAGUGAACCAGGGCGAUGUGCAGAAAAAAAAUCUUAGCACAUAGGCUGAAUUUGUAUACUACUUCAAAUUUAUUAGGUAGUACUCCCUCCGUAUGUAUAUCACUUCCGAAAACAAGUUCGGGUUAUUAGGUAGUACUAUUGAAUUUCAGGAUUGAUACUUGAAGAUUUUAAAAAAUUUUGUACCAACUCUACUGUUAUGUAUAGGAAGAACAUGUUCUAAAAUAUUUAUAAUUCAUAUGAAAGUGAUCAUUUGAUUAUUAAAUCAUGCCGCUAAUAAGAUAAGUUCUUGUCACUUAUUUCUUGAAAAAUUUCCAUUGUUCAGGUUCUGACUUCAUUUGUUGAGCUAUUUUAAUUUUUGUAUGAGAGAAAUGAAAAACUUUAUGAUUGGUAUGUCGAAACUUUGAUCAGUUCAUUGUGGAAUAAUGACGGUGAUUUGGAUUCUUAACUAAAUUAUGAUAGGCUUCCAUUUUGGUGGCUCUGAUUUGGUUUUAUGUGUUUUUUGUUACCAGGUAGAAAAUACUUAAUGCUGGUAUCCCAGAGUUUUACUUACUGGAAUAGAAACGAGGCUUAUUUAUUGAGAAUUUUAGCUGUAGUGUGUGUCAGUGCCCUCGUACUUUUCAAGUGAAACCUUGAAGAAAAGCAUAAUGAAGGUUAUGCUGAUAGCGGUGGCGCGGAAAGAAUAUAAAAUUGAGGGUACAAAAGUAUUAGGAUCUCCAUGCCGGCAAAUGUAGUGUGUUGCACUGAUUGCAAUUACUUCUUUGCUGUUAUUUGUUGUUACUGCCAUAGUUUAUUGUUUGUGCUUAU